CUUUCAAUAAUUGUACUAUGAUAUAACACGUGAAGGCACAUUAAAUCAAUCAGAAAGAGGGGUCCUUAUUUCUUACUACUAUGUUUCUCUCUCCCCUCUCUCUCUAAAUUUUAUGUUAUAAUUUGCAGAAUAUUCAAUGAAUGUUCAAACCCAGACGCCAAACAACGCCUCAGAACAAUGUAGGGACAACCCAGCCUCAAAGCAGCAGCGACACAUCGAAAAAGCACAAAGAGAUAACAAUAGAAAAGAUAUGGAAACGAUAUGCUGUUGUUUGACGACGGAAAUCAGGUGAAUAUUUGGAGUUGACGGAGAUCGCAAGGUUACUGUAUCCGUAUUGGUGGCUGCUCUUGCCAAAUGAGCAAAUACAUCCAUAUAUAAGUAUAAUUCUUAACUGUUAAAUUAUUUGCUUAACUAAAUUAUAAUCGAAUUUUUUUUGUACUAUAGUUUGUCUAGACGGCAACCAUCCUGCUCACGCUAAUAGUCGAGAUAUUGAAGAUGAAUAGACAAUUGACAUGUCUUUAGUUGUGCAUAAAUAUGAAUAACUUCCUCUGAAAUAAUCAACAUGUAUAUAUAUUUAAAUAAAUUGAAGCUAAUGUUAUUGUUUGAAUUUACAUAGUCAUUUUAAGUUCGCUAAUGUUUAUGGCACGAGCGAACUAAAAAUGGUUUGCUUGUGAAUUUAAACAAUAAUAUGAUAUUAAAUUUAUUUUAAUAUAAAUGCAUGAUGAUUAUUUAUGAGGCACUUGUUCAUAUAUGUUCCUUCAACUAGAUAUACCAAUUGUAUGCUCUAUCUCAAAAUCCUCAGCUAUAAGCAUAAGCCAGGGGUUACCGUCUAAACAAAGUAUACAGAAAAAUCAAUUAUGACUCAAUUAGUUAACCAAAUAAUAUAACGGUUGAUAAAUAUACAUAUAUAUGAAUAUAUUUGCUCCUUUGGUAAGAGCAGUCUCCAAUAUGGAUACGGUGACAUCGUGGCCUCUUUCAAUUCCAAAGAUUUCGACCGCAAUGAGAGAAUAUAUGAGUGCCGGCGAGAGGUAUUAAUAAAUAUGUAUGUAGGUGGGUUUGGAGUUGAAUUAUAAUUAUUAAUGUAUCUGUAUAAAAGAUGGAAAAGCAAUAAUGUUGUAAUUAGGUUAUUAGCUGAUUGGCAAAGCUAUAAUGAGUAAACCAGAAAUAAUAGCAGUGAUUCUAGUUUAUUUUUUGUUCAA